UGCCAGACUCCUACGGGAGGCAGCAGUGGGGGAUAUUGCACAAUGGGGGGAACCCUGAUGCAGCGACGCCGCGUGGGUGAAGAAGCGCCUCGGCGCGUAAAGCCCUGUCAGCAGGGAAGAAAAUGACGGUACCUGAAGAAGAAGCCCCGGCUAACUACGUGCCAGCAGCCGCGGUAAUACGUAGGGGGCAAGCGUUAUCCGGAUUUACUGGGUGUAAAGGGGGCGCAGACGGCGAUGCAAGCCAGGAGUGAAAGCCCGGGGCCCAACCCCGGGACUGCUCUUGGAACUGCGUGGCCGGAGUGCAGGAGGGGCAGGCGGAAUUCCUGGUGUAGCGGUGAAAUGCGUAGAUAUCAGGAGGAACACCGGUGGCGAAGGCGGCCUGCUGGACUGCAACUGACGUUGAGGCCCGAAAGCGUGGGGAGCAAACAGGAUUAGAUACCCUGGUAAUG
rnacentral:rRNA from 1 species